rnacentral:rRNA from 1 species
UACGAAGGGGGCUAGCGUUGCUCGGAAUCACUGGGCGUAAAGCGCACGUAGGCGGACUCUUAAGUCAGGGGUGAAAUCCUGGAGCUCAACUCCAGAACUGCCUUUGAUACUGAGAGCCUUGAGUUCGGGAGAGGUGAGUGGAACUGCGAGUGUAGAGGUGAAAUUCGUAGAUAUUCGCAAGAACACCAGUGGCGAAGGCGACUUACUGGACAACUGUUGACGCUGAGGUGCGAAAGCGUGGGGAGCAAACAGG